ensembl:snRNA U6 U6 spliceosomal RNA
GUGCUCACUUUGGUACCAUGUUUAUUAAAAUUGUAAUGUUACAGGGAAGAUUGGCAUGGUUUCUGCACAAGGAUGACAGGGAAAUCCUUGAAGCAUUCCGUAGUUUU